CCGCAAACCUCGUCUGUUUUUGUUUUGACGUUUUGAGCUAUUUAGAGGACCACAGAAGUCCUUAACAAAGGAGAUCGUCAGCCUUCGGAGUCUAGGGAAAAAAGCUAACAAAAAACAAGAAAACAGGAGACAAAAUGGCAACAGACUCUCCACGAAGACCAAGUCGUUGUGCUGGAGGGGUUUUGGUGCGAGCACAAGCUGCUACGGAGCAGUCUUACAUGGAAAGUGUGGUGACCUUUCUGCAGGAUGUGGUUCCCCAGGCAUAUACUGGGGCUCCACCUACUGAUGAGAAAGAAAAAAUAAUUUGGGUUCGAUUUGAGAAAGCUGACAUCAAUGACACCGCCCGCAACCCAGAAUUUAUGGAGUUGCACAGUGGUACUACUGACCCUCCCCUCUGUCUUAUGAUUGGCUACACUGAUGGGAUGCAGAUCUGGAGUGUAUCGUUGGCAGGGGAAGCCCAAGAGCUGUUCUCAGUGCGUCAUGGUCCUGUGCGAGCUGCACGCAUUCUGCCAGCACCUCAUAUCAGUUCUCUGAAGAUAGACAGUUUUGCUGACAAGAGGCCUCUGCUGGGGGUUUGCAAGAGCACAGGGUCCUCCGGGACAAGCCCUCCCUACUGCUGCGCUGACCUAUAUUCUCUACGGACAGGGGAAAUGGUGAAAUCAAUUCAGUUCAAGACACCUAUCUAUGAUCUUCACUGCAACAAACAUAUUCUUGUUGUAAGUCUACAAGAGAAGAUUGCAGCAUUUGACAGCUGCACCUUCACCAAGAAGUUCUUUGUUACAAGCUGCUAUCCCUGCACUGGCCCAAACUUCAAUCCAAUAGCUCUUGGAAGCCGUUGGCUAGCCUAUGCUGAGAACAAGUUGAUAAGAUGUCACCAGUCUCGUGGAGGAGCUUGUGGUGACAAUGCUCAGUCGUAUACUGCUACAGUGAUCAGUGCUGCCAAAACUUUAAAGACAGGCCUGACAAUGGUGGGUAAAGUUGUCACCCAGUUGGCAGGCACCCUACCAGCAGGCACUCCAGAUGAGGAUGGCACACCUCAUAGCGCCAGCCGCCGUUGCCCCCAUAAUCCAGGUGUCAUCACCAUCAUUGACAUUCACAGUGUUGCUGAAGGACAGGUCUUGGUUAGUGAAGACUCGGACGGAGAGGGUGUGGUGGCUCACUUCCCAGCCCAUGACAAGCCUAUAUCCUGCAUGCAAUUCAACCCUAGUGGAAUGCUGCUGGUGACUGCCGACACUCUGGGCCAUGAUUUUCAUGUGUUCCAGAUCCUUACCCACCCAUGGGCUUCCUCACAGAGUGCUGUUCACCAUCUCUAUACUCUGCAUCGUGGAGAGACUGAGGCAAAGGUCCAGGACAUGUGCUUCAGCCAGGAUAGUCGCUGGGUAGCAAUCAGCACCCUGCGUGGCACCACCCAUGUCUUUCCCAUAAACCCCUAUGGUGGUGCACCCUGCGCCCGUACACACAUGUCCCAGCGGGUUGUCAACCGGAUGUCACGCUUCCAAAAGAGCGCCGGCCUUGAGGAGAUCGAACAAGAGCUGAAUAGGGCGACUGCAUUAGGAGGAGGAGCAGGAGGAGGAGGCAUAGGAGGAGGUGGUUGCAUCCUGGGUGGAGGAGGAGGCAUCGGAGGUCGCUGUAGCCCCAUACCUGGCCUGUCCAGUAGUCCCUCUGGAUCUCCACUGCACGCCAAGCUGAGCAACCAGGAUUCAUACAACAACUUCACCAAUAACAACAUGGGGAGCCCACGGCUGUCACCGCUGCCCAGCCUCACUGUCGUGCUGCCUCUGGCUCAGAUCAAACAGCCCAUGACCCUGGGCACCAUCACUAAACGCACCGGACCCUACCUCUUUGGGGCGGGAUGUUUUGCCAUUAAAACUCCAUGCAAAGCCAAGCCACCUCCUCAGAUCUCCCCGAGUAAGUCCAGUGGAGGAGAGUUCUGUGUGGCUGCCGUUUUUGGCUCAUCUCGCUCCUGGUUCAUCACCAACCCCAGCAUGAAAAGAGAGAAAGAUCAGUCCAGGCAGUCUGUUGUUGAUUCUCUGUACAUCAUCAGUUGCUAUGGUAACUUGAUGGAACAUGUCCUGGAGCCUCGGCCAAUUAGCACUGCUCAAAAGAUUAGUGAUGAUACACCUUUGGAGCUCAGCACCUGUCCAAGGGCCUGCUGGACUCUAGCGAGGACUCCACAGUGGAAUGAGCUACAACCACCCUUCAACUCCAACCACCCCCUGGUAUUGGCUGCAGACCUGGUACAGCAUUAUCAAUACCUUCUGGCUGCGAUGCCCCCAGGAAGCCCAGGCCCAAUCACACGUCACGAAUCAUCAGACAGCCUGGCAUCGGACCACAGUGGUCAGGAGGACGAGGAGUGGCUUUCUCAGGUGGAGAUUGUGACCCAUACAGGACCUCACCGGCGCUUGUGGAUGGGCCCCCAGUUUCAGUUUAAGACCAUUCACCCAUCAGGCCAGACCACAGUCAUCUCCUCCUCGUCCUCCGUACUUCAGUCACAGGGCCCAACUGAUAUCCCCCAGCCCCUCUUGGACUUUGAUACAGAUGACCUGGACCUGCACAGCCUCAGGAUUCAACCAGUACGUUCAGAACCAGUCAGCAUGCCUGGUUCAUCACGGUUGGUGGGUGAUCGUCGAGGACAGUCCAACAUCAUGGAUGCAGGAUCGGACAUGCUCUCAGCUUAGGGAGCUGGUUCAUGGGCCGGUCAAAGCCGCCUUAUUUCCUUUUAAUUGACUUAAGAUGGGCAAACAAGACUUCACCAAGCACACGGUUAUUCCUAAAAAGAAGCUCUUCGCCCUGCAAAUUACCAUUUCAGUUGAUUUGUUAUUUAUUUAUUUUUCCUCUCGGGCAUGCCUAUCAUUUUCAUAACCCCUCCAUCCAUUCAUCUACCCUUCCCUCUCUCCCUCACUACCCAGUCAGCAUUUUGUCAUUGGUGUGAGAGAGAGAAGAGGACAGGCAAGAGGAGGAGGAGGAGGAAGAAAGGAAGAUGGCACGCUUUCUUCUUGUUUGUCUUUCUGUUUGUCUUCCUGUUUGUCUGCCUGUUCGUUUGAUUAUAACAUACACACUUUAAUAAGUUCAGGUAUUAUAGUUAUUUUCUAAGGCUAUAUCAAUAUUUUCUUCUUAGUUGCUGUGCUUAGGAUGCUUCCCUUGAGAGGCUGGCAUGUCUGAUAUCAUGGCAACAUUGACAGGCUCAUUAAAUGUUUCAGUGCUAUUAACCCCCAAAGCCAGUCAUCCACUUUAGAUGAUCACUUUCUCACUGCAGCAUUAUUGUCUUGUUGUUAGUCUAUAGUUAACUAAACUGACCCAGACAUGGCUGUUGCCAAGCUUUGAAUGCUUUAGAGAGCACAGUGGCAGGUGUGUACAGUUUGUAGUUGUCCAGUAGUUGUCUGUCAGUGCUCAUUGUGUACAUCAGUAUAGGUCAUCACAUAAUACCAGUGCAUGCAUCACAGCACAGGACAUACUGGAGAAAUAAUUUAUGGUUAUAUAAGAGAAUUAUUUAAUGCCAAGCCUUACAGCUAUAUACAUCCGUGCUAUUUACAAGCCACAACAUAUACUGAGUGCCAUAGAAAGGCAAAAGAAAUGAUGUCAACAUACCUAAAGCUGUCACUGUCCUGACCAAAGAAGUUUCCCAGUGAUCCACAGCAUGCCAACUUUCAGGCCUGGGCAUGUGACUUCAUAUGACCUGUGAUAACUGCCACAUUUUAAUUUGUGAUGAAUCCAGUGAUUUGAAACUAAUUGCUGUCAGUUGUGUUAUGUGCUGGCUAUCAUCAGAAAGAUAUUUCAAAAAAGCACUAGUAGUGUUUGUGUAAAUGUUAUUGAAACACAAAAUAAUUUACCGCAGAGACUCUUAGAUGACAUAAAAGAGGAAACAAAACUGCUGAGACCAAGUGUGUUAUGCCUGAGUAUUAUCCCUGAUCCUUCGUAAUGUACAAAGUAAUGGGAAAAAUGAACUACAGUAUUUUGUUGUUUGACAGAAGAGGAAGAAGAGAAGUCAUGACACUAUCAUUUUUUUCUACUUCCUUUUGGUUUACAGAUCUCUACUAGAAAUUCACUGUUAAAGCGGCUCUAACUUUCAACUGUUAAGGGUGAAUGAGAAUCAAACUCCAGCAGUAUCCCCUCCUCUUCUCCCUCUGCUCUUCUUUGGCCCUCCUGCCCUGUCUCUGGAAUUACAUCAUAUGUGGUCAUGACAGACAGAAACAGUUGCAACACAGGCAAAUAAUACAGAAGCAUGUUUUUCCCAGUAAUAUUGAUACAGUACUAAUGUUCUGGCCACUAUUGCAUCAUGUUCAGUGUUGCAUUCUUGACACACAUAUUAUGCUAGAAGGUAGCCAUGGGUUGUAGGUAAAAUGAGAAAUUUCAUGUUACGAUUUGAUACGUUUUGAAAAAGCUCCCCACUGUUCUAGUUAAUAGUGUAAAUUUUAACAACUUCUCACAAAAAUUUUGCAUGUACUGCAAUGUUAUGCCUGGCAUAAACUGUACCAAAACCAAAAUUAGCAGUAUUAUUGCAUUUGCUAAUCCAGGAAACACACUGGUUUCCGUUAUUUGAACAACAAAACACUAACACUGCAGUCAGUUGGAAUGACUCCAAAUUACAACCAGAAUAGUUCAACACAAAGAUAUAAAAUUAAAAUGAUAGUUAGCUUUGUAAUGAUGUCGACAUAUACACAUUAGCUUAGCAUCUAGCAGGAAGAAAGCCACAUCUGCAUCAGAUUUUAGACCUUUGGUUGCUUUUAAUACUCUCCAUCUCUGACAUGCAAACCAGUGUUACCCCUGGUUUUGUAGCAGUCUUUCUGUGCUACAGAAUGCGGUCUCUUGUGUCUAACAGGUCCAGUCUCCCAUCCUGUUCUAUUCAAAUUUUGUUAUCUUAGUUAUUGCAUCUGUUUAAAAAUAGCCUUUUCCAAAAUAUGUUGUUUAAGUAAGGCUAUUACUAACUUUACAUCUCUAAGGAUUGACAGUUAAAUGGACUUGAACAAUAUUUUGUGAUCCAAGUGCAAUCUGUUAAUCGCGUGACUCAACAUUAUCUUAAAUCAUGGAAAUAGUAGUGUUCAAAAAUCCUGGUGUUUAGAUGUUAUGAGGUCCCAGCCGACACACCACACUACACUGGCAACAACAAUCAAACUGCUUUCAAAGUCAUUUAGAUCAGGCACCUUGCAAUUUGACUGUUUAGUCAAACAAUAACUAAACCUAUUGAACUAAUCUGUGGGCCUCAUAUGUUGAUUUGCAGCAAACCGGAUGCGCUCUUUGAAGUAGCUUUCUGUUGACACGAAUAUAGUGGUCACUGAGUCUGUAUAUUAUAAUAUAUGUAAGUCCUGAGGAAGGUGACUGAUGGGCCACUGGUGGGUAGGAAAAAUGUCAUGUAGCGUUAAUAUACGAGCCAAGUAAUUAAAUGUCUUUUAUGUGCUUAAAAUUAACAGCCACAAGUGUAAAGCCAACAAAAAAAUUACAAUGAUGAGCAAAAGAAAAACAUCAAGUUUUUAAAUUGCAAUCAUGAAAUAAAAGAGAA